CAACUUUCAUGAAUGGGUCUGUACUCUUGAACAAUUUUUUUUUUUAGAAAUCUCUGUAGACAAACCUGCCUUUUUGUUAAUACUCUUAGGGGCAGUUUCCUGGACAGGGUUUAGAUAAAUCUAGGACAUUUAAGUAGAAUUUACAAACAAACCUUACGUUACUGGUGUGCAUCUUGAGACAAAACAAUGGCACUGAUAUAUUUUAAUAUUUGUGAGUGCAGGGUGUUUUAAAAUAAAGGCAACUGAGACAUGCAUUUAAGUCUGGGAACAGGAUAAGCCUUGUCCAGGAAACCGCCCCUUGAGAUUAAAUUGAGCUGAAGAAAUAUUUUGGGGGGAAAUUAAAUUCACUGUAAAUAAUUUUCGUUGUUUUCACAGUUUUUUACUGUUUUUCUCGACAGUUUCUUACUGUAUAAGUUGUUUACAGUUUGUUACUAUAGAUUUGUUGUUUCCACAGUAUUUUAAUGUAUUUUCAACAGUUUUUUACUGCAUAAGCUUUGUACAGUAGGCUACUGUAGUUUUCCAAUGCAUUAUGGGAAAUAUUACUCUGAAUACAGUAUUACCAACCAACUGCAAAACACAAUGACAAACGUCUAUUUAUAUCUUAAAUGCUUAAAUUUUUUUGUGAGAUAUUUGGUUUAAUGUCUGUUUUCACAUCAGAUGCUCGGUGUGUUCCUUUAACAUAAAUCAGGUGCCUUUUCUGAGGCUUUAAUGAAAUCACCAGCCAAUUCAAUAGACAUACCAUCAGUUCUUAAUAUUGUUGCCUCUGGGUCACAAAAUGUAUUUUUAAGAUUAGUUUAGGCGAUAAUAUAUAUGUAUAAUCUUCAAAUAACAGUCGAUUAGUUAAAAAAGCGCUAAUUUUAGAAUUUGAUUAAACAAAUGCGGAGGGUUCAGGCGCGAGUCGGUCACGUGAUGUGCUCCUCAGUUCUGUCAGUAGGGGGAGUGGGAGAACGCGUGUGUGUCGUCGUAUCUGUUCUGCUCAUCUAGCGCGUAUUUCUUUAUUAAUAUCUGCUGGGUGAAUAUUAAUACGUAUAUGCUAACAUUAAUUUUGUGACCACAAAAUGACAGCGAGCUAUUAUACGAGAUAUUGUGUCGUCGUGUUUGUCUUCACUCACUUCAUCAUUAUCUGGUAAGUGCUAUAUGCAAUAUCUGGUAUGAGACUUUAUUGGCACUAAAGGGUUCUUUCGGCUAAAUUUUACUUAAUUUCUGUCAUAACAGCAAACAACUUCUGCAAUUACACAAUGAUUGUCUGCCUGUGUGCAAAAUAAAGCACGUUCACUGUGUAAAACCCCGCGCAGGACAUUUUCAAAUUAACGGUCAGGGCGAGUCUGAGCUUAUCGUGUUGUGUUGACAGAGACUUUGCUGAGUGUAUGUAAAUCUGGGCUACAGUCCACGACAAAUUUUCUACGGUAGUUUUACGCCUGCAUGCUGGUCCUUUCGUCUAUCGCGGGGAUAUCAUCACUUCAGCGGACAUCGCACUGAAGAGAUCCUUCCUGUGCUUGCGUGGCGGUGUGUUUGUGUGCUCACUUGGAUUGAGACCAGCAGUGCUUUUUUAAACAGUGGGUGAGUACUAACUUAUUAUUGUGUAGUUUCAUAAAAGCCUUACUCUUUUCAGUCACAUAACUUUUGUUCAUCUGCUAAUAAUAGGACUAUCCAUACACAAAGAUGUAUUGUGGAUUUAAUUAAUAUCUGCGAAUAUUUAUGUGAAAAUGUAGCCUAUUAGUGUUCUGCUGACAUGAGAUCUGAAAAUGUGUUCUAGGACCUGAUAUGGAUUAAUCCAAUGAUCAACGUUUUCCUUUGUAUCCCUGUUUUGUAUACGCUGCCAUUACAUGAUGGUCUUAUGUCCCGGGUGAUCGGGAGAAGUCACGUGGUUCAAUUAUUAUUAUUUUUUUACGUGGUUCAAUUAUCUGUUAAUAAAAAUUUUUUACCAUGCAUUUAGCAUCAGGCAAAGCCUGCAAUCAAUCUAUUAAGACAGAAACAAUAUCUUACUUAUUAUUAUGUUGUUAUGACAAUAUCAUGUGAUCAUCUGAGUUAGAACAAAAUCUAUUCAUUUUCAGGUAUAACUGUGCAAGUGCCCUGAAUCAUUCUGUUGAAAUGUUAUGUGUUUAAGAUUCUUUAUGACAUCAAGAUGUGGUUUGGGAAGGACCUUCAUCUAAAUCUGAAGACAGGACAUACUGGCUCAAAAAGGUGUUUCUGAUAUGGAGAAAAACCCUGCACUGCUCAUUUUAUUUCUUCAUCUUGAGAAUACAGCAAGUUUACCUUUUGUCUGGAAAAUGAUUCAGCAAAGCUAACACCAACAACAAUUUUUCAUCGCACUUUAAACCACCUUGAUGUGAGGAGCCAGCAUCAGAAUGGAUGGUGUCAAUAUCCUGAAAGUGGAGGUAACAGAGGUGGAUCUCGAGACUUGGCCAUGUUCUAGAUUAUAACUGGAUUAUCACAAGUGCUGUCGCCCCUGCUGUAUAUGACGCCCCCACCACCUACACCAGGUGUAGGAAAUGUCGGUCCUGGAGUGCCGUUGUCCUGCAGAGUUUUGCUCCAGCUCUAAACAAACACACCUGAACAACUAGAUCUGAAGAGUCACCAGAAAACUACAGGUAGGCGAGGUUUUAUCAGGGUUGGAAAUGAAAUCUGCAGGAUUUCGACA